UAAUAAAUGUAUUUCCUUUACAGCUCAACCGAUUUUUACAACUAUGCCCCAGAUCUGAAAGGUUACUGCAAUACAUGAUUGAAUUAAUACCUUAAUGAUCUUGGGAGUAAAUAUUUCAGUUUUUUGUUUUCAGUUAUUCAUUUAACAUCUCCAGACUUAUCAGAAAGUUACAGUCAGGUCCAGCUGUUAAAUCUUCAUACUAGUAUUCAACAACUGACCUAUGUACAUCGAUGAUGAAGUUACAAUCUGGACAAGAUCUGACAGACGCAAUUAAGUGAAUCGACAUUGUGACGGUUGUUUUAUCGAAAUUAUGUUAUUAACGGUAUAUGGUGAUUAAAAUGUAUUUAACAAAUUACAA